rnacentral:rRNA from 1 species
AGCAGCCGCGGUAAUUCCAGCUCCAAUAGCGUAUAUUAAAGUUGUUGCAGUUAAAAAGCUCGUAGUUGAACCUCGGGGUCUACCCAUUGGUCAGGCUUAAUUGUCUGCACUGGUGAGAUGGAUCUCUACCUUCUGAGGAACUUUCAUGCCGAUUUAUUUGGUGUGGUUGGAAAUCAGGACUGUUACUUUGAAAAAUUAGAGUGUUUAAAGCAGACUA